UCUACAGGUCGAGCAAGUCUCGUAAAUUUCACGAUUGCGAGCCACGCUUCACGCAACCGUGUUUGCGUACUUGUAUUUCGAGUUGCGUGGUCGUGCGGAGUUAUAUUUACCAAAUUUAAAUAUAAUCGUUUCUACUGAUUCAUACGCUGUCAAAAUUAAAUCAAUAUGGCUACUGGGUGUAAAAGAUAAAUCUUAUUCUAUCUGUUCUUAAUGAGUUUUAGAUAAUUUUAGUUGUAUUUCUUUGUAAUUUUGUGUUGUACAAAGAUUAAUUUAACAUUUUCUCUGGAAGUAUUAAUUUAGAAAGAUAAUAUGCUUCAUUGGUGUUGUGUUUUGAAGUGUGAAAUGCAAAGUAAUUGUGAUAAAGUCAAGAUGAAGUUCACUUUUAAACUGAACUAAAUAAGGUAUCUGAGAGACAACAAUGGUUAAAUGCAAUACAAUGUACAGGUUUUACUAGCGAAAUGAAAAUUUUCCUGUCCUGUCUGCUGUAAUCAUUUUAUAUCUGGUAAGUUACAAUUACAACAGUAACGAUUUUUGAAGAUGUUAACAUUUUAAUCUUAUAGGAAAACCAGCCGACUUAAUCGAUAAUAACAAUCUCCAGAUUGGGUUCCUUCAAUAAAUAUGGGCUAUUAACACAAUGAAAUAAGUUCCAGAAAAUCUAAAAUGGAGUGGUAUCAAAGGAGAAUUAAAGGAAAAAAUAUUCAUAUUGAAAUUGUUUAUAAGGCACUGGACUGUCUUAAAUUCUACAAUAAUACUAGAAUCAGCUGAGAGAAGUGGUCUACAAAAAACCAGGAAGGAAACGGAAUAUGUGGCUACGAAAGGCAAAAGAAAGGUUUACAAAGCAAAUGUGACACAUUUUUUUGAAAUAUUUAGGAAUAUCAGUAAAUUGCAUUAAAAAAAUGUAUGAAAAGAUUUUGUUCAAUAAAAAUGUUUAUAUUUA